rnacentral:rRNA from 1 species
AUGAACGCUGGCGGCGUGCCUAAUCCCUGCAGGUCGAGCGAACAGACGAGGAGCUUGCUCCUCUGACGUUAGCGGCGGACGGGUGAGUAACACGUGGAUAACCUACCUAUAAGACUGGGAUAACUUCGGGAAACCGGAGCUAAUACCGGAUAAUAUAUUGAACCGCAUGGUUCAAUAGUGAAAGACGGUUUUGCUGUCACUUAUAGAUGGAUCCGCGCCGCAUUAGCUAGUUGGUAAGGUAACGGCUUACCAAGGCAACGAUGCGUAGCCGACCUGAGAGGGUGAUCGGCCACACUGGAACUGAGACACGGUCCAGACUCCUACGGGAGGCAGCAGUAGGGAAUCUUCCGCAAUGGGCGAAAGCCUGACGGAGCAACGCCGCGUGAGUGAUGAAGGUCUUCGGAUCGUAAAACUCUGUUAUUAGGGAAGAACAAAUGUGUAAGUAACUAUGCACGUCUUGACGGUACCUAAUCAGAAAGCCACGGCUAACUACGUG